rnacentral:tRNA from 1 species
GCCUUCGUGGUGUAGUGGCCUGCAUGCUCGGCGCGGAACUGAGAAAUCUGUGGUUCGAUUCCCGGAGAAGGCA